CCUACGGGAGGCAGCAGUGGGGAAUAUUGCUCAAUGGGGGGAACCCUGAUGCAGCGACGCCGCGUGAAGGAAGAAGUUUUUCAGUAUUUAAACUUCUAUCAGCAGGGAAGAAAAUUACGGCACCUGACUCAGAAGGCGCGGCCUACUACGUGCCAGCUGCCGGGGUUAUACGUCGGGGGCAAGCGUUAUCCGGAUUUACUGGGCGUUAAGGGAGCGUAGGGGGUUUAGUAGGUCCGGAGUGAAAGGCUUGGGGUCAACUCCGGGACUGCGUUUGAAACUGGUUGACUAGAUUGCAGGAGAGGUAUGUGGAAUGCCUAGUGUAGCGGUGAAAUGCUUAGAUAUUGGGAGGAACACCGGUGGCGAAGGCAGCAUACUGG
rnacentral:rRNA from 1 species